ACAGACCCCGGGCAGCUCUGGGGUUGGCCCUGGUCAGGGCAGCCACUGGUCAGGGCAGCCACUGGUCAGGGCAGCCACUGGUCAGGGCAGCCACCGGCCACAGGGCUGGCUGCUCUCGGAGCCAGGGACCGGAGCCAGAGCAUCGCACAGGAGGUUGAAAGUGGAGAGAGGAGGAGCUGGAGCAGACUGCUGCGGCACAAAUUGGAAGCUGGGGUGGCCUUUCUUCUUCUCCUUCUUUCUUCCCUCCCAGGGAAGUGUCAUUUGUACAAAUUGCCCGUCCGUGCCAGCUUGGGAGAGACCUCACAAGGGAAACCUGGAGCCUUCCCCGCUUUUCAUGUGAGCGGAUGCCCCUUUUAUUUCUGAGCAAGGAGUAAGUGGAGAAGAAAGGAGCUCCUGUCAGCCUCCGGGAGACAAAUUGCUUCCUGCAGCCAGAGGUGCCUCCGCUCUAACAACCGCCCGCUCCGGAGGAUGAUUUACUGGGCCGCUGCGUGGAAAGCGCUGCGACGCUGCUGCUCAGGCGGCAGAAACGCCGCGCUGCCUAAAUGGAAUGACCCUGGAUGGCCGGGGUUAAAGAUAACGGGCGAGCUCUUGUCCGCUGCCUCCUCGCCAUCAGAUGGGCUGUUAUCUCCCCGGGUGCUCUCCUCCCGAGGGGAGGUGGGCAGAAGGGCUGCCAGAGGAUUGCGAGCCAUAAAGUUAUUAAAACAGUGGAGGCAACAAAGCGGCGCAGCUUCCCCGCUGCUCUGACAUUUCCAAAGGGUGAAAGGUAAAAACACGCUCUAUAAAAACCCAGCCCGGGGUUUGCGGUUUCUGCCGGAGCUCUCGGAGCAGCUAAUUAAACGGGAGGGACAAAUCCGCAGAGCAAACUUCCAGCCAGCAAAUCAAAGCCCAGCCUGGUGGGGAGUGGGGGGGCUGCAGGGAGGACACCCCUUUUCUCCUUUGAACCUCCUUUUUUGGGGAAAGGGGGAGUGGGGCUUGGUGCAACAGAGCAGCUCCGUCCACAGCCCCUAAUUAUUUCCCUUAACUGUAAGCGCCGAGGCCGGGAGCCAAACCACAUGAAAAAGUGGUUGAUGGCAGAGCUGCACGGACAAGUGGCACAUUCCCCCACCCCCAAUUCUGCUGGUUUCUGCCCCAGUUUGCUCCAGGCUCCCUGUCCCCGUGCUGGUCCUCACCACGUCACCCUGGGGCCAUGCCCUGCAGAUCCCUCCGGGGACUGGGGGCUGCUGGGCUGGCCCCCAGCACGGGAGGGAUGGAGGGGGUAGGGAGGGGUGUACCCUGUGUCUGGGGGGGUCCCCACCUCCUCCUGUCUCUCUGCACAGACAUGUCCCCUCGUCUCAUUGAUCUGGGUGAGCUGCCUGUCCACCCACACCCUAUUGCUAAUGGCCUCAUUAGUUAGGGAAAAGAGUUGCUGAAGUCAAUUUAUGAUAUGGAACAGCGAAACCCAGCAAAAUCAAUAAUUCUGCAGUCAGGGGGAGGCUGGGGGGAGGGAGGGAGCCCAGGGGUGAGCUCAGGUAACCAAUGAGCUUAAAACGCCCACUCCCCGCCUUUGGCCUCAUGUUACAUCGUGCUCAGCCUCAUUCCAUUUGGAUGAGGCAGCCUGUGCUCAUUGCUCCUGGUCCUCCCCCGGGGCCUGGACCAGCAUCCCAUGGCUCCUCUUUCCCUGUGGGUUUGUGGCACCAGCCAUCUCCUGCAGGGAGGGGACGUGGUGAGAGGGCAGGGGUGGCACAAGCUGCCUUGGUUCCACCUGUGCUGGGAAGAGACCAAUCUGAGGGAAGUGGGUCAGGAGCCAGACAGAUUGGGAUGAGUAACACAGUGGCUGUUAUCCGUGGCAGGAGUGAUGGAGGGUUUCCUGUUCUGGGGAGGCUGUAGUCUGGAGAGGGAUUUGUUCUUUUGAAGCUUGCUGGAGUUCAGGGAGGAGUUAAUCCAGAGCAGCCGAAUGUACCAGGCUGUGCACAGAGGGAUCCUAAAGGUUCCCUCUGAUCCGUGAUCCAAAACCACAGCCCCCCAUGACGUGGGCUGCUAUAAAGCCUCUUGCCAAAGAUCUCUGUUCAGUGGUAAUUCCUUUUAUAGCUGGUUUCCACCAUGUGGCUGCACACCCCAUGGUUUACAAGAGCUCUGGAGCGCUGGCAGAGAGCAAAAACUGGGAGUUGGGAAAAAGCGACAAAAUGGUAAAUGUGGUUUUUUGGGCUUUCCUCAUCAAGUUGUGACAACAAGAAGAAUCAGAGGAUGCCUUCCAUUCCACCCCUGGCUCGUAGCCACCCAACCAUCCUCCCAUCCUCCCCCCCACACAGCCUGUGCUUCGAGGCACACACACCUCAGUUCCAUCUUCCCCAUCUCUCUCCAUUGUUUUCCCCCAGUAUAAAUUUUGCAUUUCAAGCCUGCUUGUCAUAUUUCCUACCGGAUUGGGUGUUUAAUUAAAAUCAUAAUUAAAAUUGA